rnacentral:rRNA from 1 species
CGUUAGCGACAGAAGAAGCACCGGCUAACUCCGUGCCAGCAGCCGCGGUAAUACGGAGGGUGCGAGCGUUAAUCGGAAUUACUGGGCGUAAAGCGCAUGCAGGUGGUUUGUUAAGUCAGAUGUGAAAGCCCGGGGCUCAACCUCGGAAUUGCAUUUGAAACUGGCAGACUAGAGUACUGUAGAGGGGGGUAGAAUUUCAGGUGUAGCGGUGAAAUGCGUAGAGAUCUGAAGGAAUACCGGUGGCGAAGGCGGCCCCCUGGACAGAUACUGACACUCAGAUGCGAAAGCGUGGGGAGCAAACAGGAUUAGAUACCCUGGUAGUCCACGCCGUAAACGAUGUCUACUUGGAGGUUGUGGCCUUGAGCCGUGGCUUUCGGAGCUAACGCGUUAAGUAGACCGCCUGGGGAGUACGGUCGCAAGAUUAAAACUCAAAUGAAUUGACGGGGGCCCGCACAAGCGGUGGAGCAUGUGGUUUAAUUCGAUGCAACGCGAAGAACCUUACCUACUCUUGACAUCCAGAGAACUUUCCAGAGAUGGAUUGGUGCCUUCGGGAACUCUGAGACAGGUGCUGCAUGGCUGUCGUCAGCUCGUGUUGUGAAAUGUUGGGUUAAGUCCCGCAACGAGCGCAACCCUUAUCCUUGUUUGCCAGCGAGUAAUGUCGGGAACUCCAGGGAGACUGCCGGUGAUAAACCGGAGGAAG